rnacentral:rRNA from 1 species
UACGUAGGUGGCAAGCGUUGUCCGGAUUUACUGGGCGUAAAGGGAGCGUAGGUGGAUAUUUAAGUGGGAUGUGAAAUACUCGGGCUUAACCUGGGUGCUGCAUUCCAAACUGAAUAUCUAGAGUGCAGGAGAGGAAAGUAGAAUUCCUAGUGUAGCGGUGAAAUGCGUAGAGAUUAGGAAGAAUACCAGUGGCGAAGGCGACUUUCUGGACUGUAACUGACACUGAGGAUCGAAAGCGUGGGGAGCAAACAGG